UGAUCAUGGCUCAGAUUGAACGCUGGCGGCAGGCCUAACACAUGCAAGUCGAGCGGAAACGAGUUAUCUGAACCUUCGGGGGACGAUAACGGCGUCGAGCGGCGGACGGGUGAGUAAUGCCUAGGAAAUUGCCCUGAUGUGGGGGAUAACCAUUGGAAACGAUGGCUAAUACCGCAUAAUGCCUACGGGCCAAAGAGGGGGACCUUCGGGCCUCUCGCGUCAGGAUAUGCCUAGGUGGGAUUAGCUAGUUGGUGAGGUAAUGGCUCACCAAGGCGACGAUCCCUAGCUGGUCUGAGAGGAUGAUCAGCCACACUGGAACUGAGACACGGUCCAGACUCCUACGGGAGGCAGCAGUGGGGAAUAUUGCACAAUGGGCGCAAGCCUGAUGCAGCCAUGCCGCGUGUGUGAAGAAGGCCUUCGGGUUGUAAAGCACUUUCAGUCGUGAGGAAGGUGGUAGUGUUAAUAGCACUAUCANUUGACGUUAGCGACAGAAGAAGCACCGGCUAACUCCGUGCCAGCAGCCGCGGUAAUACGGAGGGUGCGAGCGUUAAUCGGAAUUACUGGGCGUAAAGCGCAUGCAGGUGGUUUGUUAAGUCAGAUGUGAAAGCCCGGGGCUCAACCUCGGAAUAGCAUUUGAAACUGGCAGACUAGAGUACUGUAGAGGGGGGUAGAAUUUCAGGUGUAGCGGUGAAAUGCGUAGAGAUCUGAAGGAAUACCGGUGGCGAAGGCGGCCCCCUGGACAGAUACUGACACUCAGAUGCGAAAGCGUGGGGAGCCAAACAGGAUUAGAUACCCUGGUAGUCCACGCCGUAAACGAUGUCUACUUGGANGUUGUGGCCUUGAGCCGUGGCUUUCGGAGCUAACGCGUUAAGUAGACCGCCUGGGGAGUACGGUCGCAAGAUUAAAACUCAAAUGAAUUGACGGGGGCCCGCACAAGCGGUGGAGCAUGUGGUUUAAUUCGAUGCAACGCGAAGAACCUUACCUACUCUUGACAUCCAGAGAACUUUCAGAGAUGGAUUGGUGCCUUCGGGAACUCUGAGACAGGUGCUGCAUGGCUUGUCGUCAGCUCGUGUUGUGAAAUGUUGGGUUAAAGUCCCGCAACGAGCGCAACCCUUAUCCUUGUUUGCCAGCGAGUAAUGUCGGGAACUCCAGGGAGACUGCCGGUGAUAAACCGGAGGAAGGUGGGGACGACGUCAAGUCAUCAUGGCCCUUACGAGUAGGGCUACACACGUGCUACAAUGGCGCAUACAGAGGGCAGCAAGCUAGCGAUAGUGAGCGAAUNCCAAAAAGUGCGUCGUAAUCCGGAUUGGAGUCUGCAACUCGACUUCAUGAAGUCGGAAUCGCUAGUAAUCGUGGAUCAAAAUGCCACGGUGAAUACGUUCCCG
rnacentral:rRNA from 2 species